rnacentral:rRNA from 1 species
GACGAACGCUGGCGGCAUGCCUAACACAUGCAAGUCGAGCGAGCAGAUCCCUUCGGGGUGAAGCUAGCGGCGGACGGGUGAGUAACACGUGGGCAACCUGCCUCAUAGAGGGGAAUAGCCUUCCGAAAGGAGGAUUAAUACCGCAUAAGAUUGUAGCUUCGCAUGAAGUAGCAAUUAAAGGAGCAAUCCACUAUGAGAUGGGCCCGCGGCGCAUUAGCUAGUUGGUGAGGUAACGGCUCACCAAGGCGACGAUGCGUAGCCGACCUGAGAGGGUGAUCGGCCACAGUGGGACUGAGACACGGCCCAGACUCCUACGGGAGGCAGCAGUGGGGAAUAUUGCACAAUGGGGGAAACCCUGAUGCAGCAAUGCCGCGUGAGUGAUGACGGCCUUCGGGUUGUAAAGCUCUGUCUUCGGGGACGAUAAUGACGGUACCCGAGGAGGAAGCCACGGCUAACUUCGUGCCAGCAGCCGCGGUAA